UCCCCCCCUCCCCCGCUGCGAGGCAGGUGAAUAGUCCUGGUUAGGAGAGUGCCUAGCAGGCGCCCGGUGUCGUUCCUCCUUAAUCUUGUUUAGACGGAUUAAGGAUUAAGUUUUCCAGAUGUGCCUCGUUUUCCUGUAGGUCUUCUUACCUAUCUAAUGAGAGGAACAUCAAGAGGGGCGCUUAUAGCCAUCCGUUGCCCUGCCAUUUCCAAUCGAUACGCCAAGGAAUGUCUUAUUGCUCGUCCCUACGUUGCGGUCUACAUUUCUGAAACCGGAGAGUUACUACGACUAAGACUGGAAGCAAUUGAUUUAUCGAGGGCGGCGUUAACCUAAGACUCCUUCGCGUGGAGACCAGUCAAUAUGCAAAAUGCUAGACUGCUUGCAUUUUUUUCCAACGCCUCCUUUGAAAAGAAAUAGAUUGCUUGAGCCAAGAGAAGGCCGAUGAGAGAAUGGACCUCCCGCAAUCUUCAGUGUUGUGUAGAGUUUAAAAUAAUGUGUCUCAAUGCCAGAAAGAACUGAGUCGCUGUCAAAGAACUAACCUCAUCUGAUUGGACAGAUCUAGUUUGGAACUGAGGCAAAAUCCUUGUGUAGAGUUAAAUGUUUUAAUACAACGGCCAUCAAGAUUA